AGGACGAACGCUGGCGGCGUGCCUAACACAUGCAAGUCGAACGCGCUCCAUUCGGUAGCAAUACUGAUGAAGAGCGAGUGGCGAACGGGUGAGUAGCACGUGAGCAACCUGCCCCGAAGACUGGGACAACACCGGGAAACCGGUGCUAAUACCGGAUAUCCCUAUCGGACCGCAUGAUUCGAUAAGGAAAUGGAUUCCGCUUCGGGAGGGGCUCGCGGCCUAUCAGCUAGUUGGUGGGGUAAUGGCCUACCAAGGCAUCGACGGGUAGCUGGUCUGAGAGGACGAUCAGCCACACUGGGACUGAGACACGGCCCAGACUCCUACGGGAGGCAGCAGUGGGGAAUCUUGCGCAAUGGGCGAAAGCCUGACGCAGCAACGCCGCGUGGAGGACGAAGGCUUUCUGAGUUGUAAACUCCUUUCAGCAGGGACGAUAGUGACGGUACCUGCAGAAGAAGCACCGGCCAACUACGUGCCAGCAGCCG
rnacentral:rRNA from 1 species